rnacentral:rRNA from 1 species
UACGAAGGGGGCUAGCGUUGUUCGGAAUCACUGGGCGUAAAGGGCGCGUAGGCGGCUUUAUAAGUCGGGGGUGAAAGCCUGUGGCUCAACCACAGAAUUGCCUUCGAUACUGUAGAGCUUGAGACCGGAAGAGGUAAGUGGAACUGCGAGUGUAGAGGUGAAAUUCGUAGAUAUUCGCAAGAACACCAGUGGCGAAGGCGGCUCACUGGUCCGGUACUGACGCUGAGGUGCGAAAGCGUGGGGAGCAAACAGG